rnacentral:rRNA from 2 species
AAAUUGAAGAGUUUGAUCAUGGCUCAGAUUGAACGCUGGCGGCAGGCCUAACACAUGCAAGUCGAACGGUAACAGGAAGCAGCUUGCUGCUUCGCUGACGAGUGGCGGACGGGUGAGUAAUGUCUGGGAAACUGCCUGAUGGAGGGGGAUAACUACUGGAAACGGUGGCUAAUACCGCAUAACGUCGCAAGACCAAAGAGGGGGACCUUCGGGCCUCUUGCCAUCAGAUGUGCCCAGAUGGGAUUAGCUUGUUGGUGAGGUAACGGCUCACCAAGGCGACGAUCCCUAGCUGGUCUGAGAGGAUGACCAGCCACACUGGAACUGAGACACGGUCCAGACUCCUACGGGAGGCAGCAGUGGGGAAUAUUGCACAAUGGGCGCAAGCCUGAUGCAGCCAUGCCGCGUGUAUGAAGAAGGCCUUCGGGUUGUAAAGUACUUUCAGCGGGGAGGAAGGUGUUGCGGUUAAUAACCGCAGCAAUUGACGUUACCCGCAGAAGAAGCACCGGCUAACUCCGUGCCAGCAGCCGCGGUAAUACGGAGGGUGCAAGCGUUAAUCGGAAUUACUGGGCGUAAAGCGCACGCAGGCGGUCUGUCAAGUCGGAU